AAUUUAAAUUUGAAUAACAAGCUAAAAGAAGCUUUACCAGACUCGACUCCGGUAGAAGAACCUAACUCAGAAGAAGAUAAACCAGAAGAUAAAGAAAUAUUAGAAAAUAAUGCAAUGAAACAGAAAUUUGUUGACAUGAUAAAGUCAAUGAAUGCGUAUAAUCAUAUUAAAAUUAGUGAGAGCGCACCUGAUUACGCAACAUUCAUGCCAGCACAUGUUUCAAGUAAUUUGAGAGACUGGUGGUUCUUUAAUGAGGAUGAUCACAAAACAACAAUUUAAAGAUAUCGUCAAUCAAGAUAAAGCAA